GGGAGCUUAAGGAGUAGGAUGGUUAAAUUAACGCUUGCAACAUGUUAACUUAUAUUUUCAACACUGUGGGUGUCUGGAGUUCUUUAAAACACAUUAUUUUGUGAAUUGCGGUGUUGGUUGCAGAACAUUGAUAUUGACCUGAAGUCAAUUUUUCUAGAGUUUAUUUACUAUUUUGUUCAUUUGAGUUUUGUUUUGGGUUGACUUGUUUAUUUUGUUUUCCAUUUGAUCACGUGUUUGUUUGUUUGGUUGUCUUUCAAUUUUUCAGUUUGGUCUUUACCUUCAAUUUCAACAUUACCAAAUGUUUUGAGUGUACUUAUAUAGCUAGGCAUGCUAUUUUUAUUGUCUGUUAUGCGUUGCUGUUUAUCUUCGUUUGUAUGUGUGGAUUUUUUUUCUAAAUUUGAGGUUCGGAUUCUUCUCUAAAGUCGAGCAUUCUUGCUUUCGUUUUUGUUUUGUCGACUUGAUAUUGUUGAAACCCUGCCCACAGCUCAACUAAUAGUGAGUGAUUUUAUUAUUGAAAUCAAAACAUUGAAAUUAUAAAGAUAACCCUAUCAAAAUGGUACUGAACCAUUAUGAUCACUUAUGUAUAAC
rnacentral:lncRNA from 1 species